GAAACUAACAAGGAUUCCCCUAGUAGCGGCGAGCGAAGCGGGAAGAGCUCAAAUUUAUAAUCUGGCACCUUCGGUGUCCGAGUUGUAAUCUCUAGAAGUGUUUUCCGCGUUGGACCGCACACAAGUCUGUUGGAAUACAGCGGCAUAGUGGUGAAACCCCCGUAUAUGGUGCGGACGCCCAGCGCUUUGUGAUACACUUUCAAUGAGUCGAGUUGUUUGGGAAUGCAGCUCAAAUUGGGUGGUAAAUUCCAUCUAAAGCUAAAUAUUGGCGAGAGACCGAUAGCGAACAAGUACCGUGAGGGAAAGAUGAAAAGCACUUUGGAAAGAGAGUUAACAGUACGUGAAAUUGUUGGAAGGGAAACGCUUGAAGUCAGACUUGCUUGCCGGAGCUUGCUUCGGUUUGCAGGCCAGCAUCAGUUUUCCGGGGUGGAUAAUGACGGUUUGAAGGUAGCAGUCUCGGCUGUGUUAUAGCUUUCCGUUGGAUACGCCCUGGGGGACUGAGGAACGCAGCGUGCUUUUUGCGAAAGACUCGUCUUUUUCACGC
rnacentral:rRNA from 1 species